rnacentral:rRNA from 1 species
AAAUUUUUUAAUUUUAUAUUAUUAUAUUUAUCAUACAUAUAUAUAUUAUUUUAUUGUUUUACAUUGUCGGCGUGCACUUCUCCCCUAGUAGGACAUCGCGACCCGUUAGAUGUUGGUUUACGACCAAUAUGGAUUAGACUUUAUAUAUUAAUUUAUUUUAUUAUUUAAAGACCAAAUUGUGUUUUCUAACCAAGUAUCUGACGGUAAUCGUAUGGUAUUAAGUCGCAUAAUAAUAUAUUUUUGCGUUCUCUACCCGUCGCAAGCGAGGCCUUUUUUAUUAGUUUACAGACUUUGUGCUGUCUAAUAAAAAUUGUGCCAGCUGUUGGCUGUUUACGGUGUUCUAGAACUGACUUAUUUUAUUAUAAAUAAA